CUGCCUACGGGGGGCAGCAGUGAGGAAUAUUGGUCAAUGGGCGCGAGCCUGAACCAGCCAAGUCGCGUGAGGGAAGGCGGUCCUAUGGAUUGUAAACCUCUUCUGUCGGGGAGCAAAAGACGCCACGUGUGGCGUUCCGAGAGUACCCGAAGAAAAAGCAUCGGCUAACUCCGUGCCAGCAGCCGCGGUAAUACGGAGGAUGCGAGCGUUAUCCGGAUUUAUUGGGUUUAAUGGGUUCG
rnacentral:rRNA from 1 species